rnacentral:rRNA from 1 species
CGGUGAAACUGCGAAUGGCUCAUUAAAUCAGUUAUCGUUUAUUUGAUAGUGCCUUACUACAUGGAUACCUGUGGUAAUUCUAGAGCUAAUACAUGCUGAAAACCCCGACUUCGGAAGGGGUGUAUUUAUUAGAUAAAAAACCAACGCCCUUCGGGGCUCCUUGGUGAAUCAUAAUAACUUAACGAAUCGCAUGGCCUUGCGCCGGCGAUGGUUCAUUCAAAUUUCUGCCCUAUCAACUUUCGAUGGUAGGAUAGUGGCCUACCAUGGUGGCAACGGGUAACGGGGAAUUAGGGUUCGAUUCCGGAGAGGGAGCCUGAGAAACGGCUACCACAUCCAAGGAAGGCAGCAGGCGCGCAAAUUACCCAAUCCCGAUACGGGGAGGUAGUGACAAUAAAUACUGAUACGGGGCUCUUUUGGGUCUCGUAAUUGGAAUGAGAGCAAUUUAAAUCCCUCACCGAGGAACAAUUGGAGGGCAAGUCUGGUGCCAGCAGCCGCGGUAAUUCCAGCUCCAAUAGCGUAUAUUAAAGUUGUUGCAGUUAAAAAGCUCGUAGUUGAACCUUGGGCCCGGCUGGCCGGUCCGCCUCACCGCGAGUACUGGUCCGGCUGGGCCUUUCCUUCUGGGGAACCUCAUGGCCUUCACUGGCUGUGGGGGGAACCAGGACUUUUACUGUGAAAAAAUUAGAGUGUUCAAAGCAGGCCUUUGCUCGAAUACAUUAGCAUGGAAUAAUAGAAUAGGACGUGCGGUUCUAUUUUGUUGGUUUCUAGGACCGCCGUAAUGAUUAAUAGGGAUAGUCGGGGGCGUCAGUAUUCAGCUGUCAGAGGUGAAAUUCUUGGAUUUGCUGAAGACUAACUACUGCGAAAGCAUUCGCCAAGGAUGUUUUCAUUAAUCAGGGAACGAAAGUUAGGGGAUCGAAGACGAUCAGAUACCGUCGUAGUCUUAACCAUAAACUAUGCCGACUAGGGAUCGGACGGUGUUUCUAUGAUGACCCGUUCGGCACCUUACGAGAAAUCAAAG